AACGGCCGCGGCAUUCUGACCGUGCAAAGGUAGCGCAAUCACUUGUCUUUUAAAUAGAGACCUGUAUGAACGGCAUAACGAGGGCUUAACUGUCUCCUUUUUUCUAUCAAUGAAAUUGAUCUUCCCGUGCAGAAGCGGGAAUAUCCACAUAAGACGAGAAGACCCUAUGGAGCUUAAGACGCAAGAACAGAACAUGUAGCUUCUUUUAAUUAAAUAACGAAAAUCAUUGUGACCUGUUCUAAUGUCUUUGGUUGGGGCGACCGCGGAGUAAAAAUAAACCUCCAUGAGGAAUGAAGAUAUACCUUCCCAGCUAAGGGUGACAACCCUAAGAACCAGAAUUUCUGACCAUUUGAUCCGGCAAAGCCGAUCAACGAACCGAGUUACCCUAGGGAUAACAGCGCAAUCCUCUUUUAGAGCCCAUAUCGACAAGGGGGUUUACGACCUCGAUGUUGGAUCAGGACAUCCUAAU
rnacentral:rRNA from 1 species